UACGUAGGGGGCGAGCGUUGUCCGGAAUUACUGGGCGUAAAGAGAGCGUAGGCGGCACUACAAGUCUCAUGUGAAAUACCCGGGCUUAACUUGGGGGUUGCAUGGGAAACUGUAGAGCUUGAGUACAGGAGAGGCAAGCGGAAUUCCUAAUGUAGCGGUGAAAUGCAUAGAUAUUAGGAGGAACACCAGUGGCGAAGGCGGCUUGCUGGACUGAAACUGACGCUGAGGCUCGAAAGCGUGGGGAGCAAACAGG
rnacentral:rRNA from 1 species